UGCAAGUCGAGGGGCAGCAAGAUACUUCGGUAUUGUUGGCGACCGGCGAAUGGGUGCGUAACGCGUAUGCAACCUGCCUUAUACAGGGGUAUAGCUCUCGGAAACGAGAAUUAAUCCCCCAUAUUAUCCAUUUAUCGCAUGAUAGUUGGAUGAAAGUUUUUCGGUAUAAGAUGGGCAUGCGUCCUAUUAGCUUGUUGGUAAGGUAACGGCUUACCAAGGCUACGAUAGGUAGGGGGUCUGAGAGGAUGUCCCCCCACACUGGUACUGAGACACGGACCAGACUCCUACGGGAGGCAGCAGUAAGGAAUAUUGGUCAAUGGACGAAAGUCUGAACCAGUUAUGCCGCGUGCAGGAUGAAGGCCAUAGGUCGUAAACUGCUUUUAUGCGGGAAAAAUAAGCUUCUGCGGAAGCUGAUGAUGUUACCGUAUGAAUAAGCACCGGCUAACUCCGUGCCAGCAGCCGCGGUAAUACGGAGGGUGCAAGUGUUAUCCGGAUUUACUGGGUUUAAAGUGUACGUAGGCGGUUUUGUAAGUCAGUGGUGAAAUGUAACAGCUCAACUGUUGAUCUGCCAUUGAUACUGCAAGACUUGAGUAUAGUCGAGGUGGGUGGAAUUCUACAUGUAGCGGUGAAAUGCUUUGAUAUGUAGAGGAACUCCAAUAACGAAGGUAACUCACUAGGCUACUACUGACGCUGAGGUACGAAAGCGUGGGGAGCAAACAGGAUUAGAUACCCUGGUAGUCCACGCUGUAAACGAUGGUCACUCGAUAUUCGUCCCUUCGGGGGUGAGUGUCUAAGCGAAAGCGUUAAGUGACCCACCUGGGGAGUACGUUCGCAAGAAUGAAACUUAAAGGAAUUGACGGGGAUCCGCACAAGCGGUGGAGCAUGUGGUUUAAUUUGAUACUACGCAAGGAACCUUACCUAGGCUCGAAUGCUUUUUGACGCAUUGAGAAAUCAAUGUUUCCGCAAGGACAAAUAGCAAGGUGCUGCAUGGCCGUCGUCAGCUCGUGCCGUGAGGUGUUUGGUUAAGUCCUAUAACGAGCGCAACCCCUAUGCUUAGUUGCCAGCACGUAAUGGUGGGAACUUUAAGCAGACUGCCUGCGAAAGCAGUGAGGAAGGAAGGGAUGAAGUCAGGUCAUCAUGGCCCUUACGCCUAGGGCUACACACGUGCUACAAUGGCGUGUACAAUGGGUCGCUACUUGGUAACAAGAUGCUAAUCUCCAAAACACGUCUCAGUUCGGAUUGAGGUCUGCAACUCGACCUCAUGAAGCUGGAAUCGCUAGUAAUCGCAUAUCAGCAAUGGUGCGGUGAAUACGUUCUCGGAUCUUGUACACACUGCCCGUCAAAUCACGGAAGUCGGUAGAACUUAAAGACGGUGACCGUUAAAGGAGC
rnacentral:rRNA from 1 species